CCUACGGGAGGCAGCAGUGGGGAAUAUUGGACAAUGGGCGAAAGCCUGAUCCAGCCAUGCCGCGUGUGUGAAGAAGGCCUUCGGGUUGUAAAGCACUUUCAGUGGGGAAGAAAGCCUUGGGGCUAAUACCCUCGAGGAAGGACAUCACCCACAGAAAAAGCACCGGCUAACUCCGUGCCAGCAGCCGCGGUAAUACGGAGGGUGCGAGCGUUAAUCGGAAUUACUGGGCGUAAAGCGCGCGUAGGCGGUCUGAUAAGCCGGUUGUGAAAGCCCCGGGCUCAACCUGGGAACGGCAUCCGGAACUGUCAGGCUAGAGUGCAGGAGAGGAAGGUAGAAUUCCCGGUGUAGCGGUGAAAUGCGUAGAGAUCGGGAGGAAUACCAGUGGCGAAGGCGGCCUUCUGGACUGACACUGACGCUGAGGUGCGAAAGCGUGGGUAGCAAACAGGAUUAGAUACCCCAGUCGUC
rnacentral:rRNA from 1 species